AUUGAACGCUGGCGGCAGGCCUAACACAUGCAAGUCGAGCGGAUGAAGGGAGCUUGCUUCUGGAUUCAGCGGCGGACGGGUGUGUAAUGCCUAGGAAUCUGCCUGGUAGUGGGGGAUAACGUCCGGAAACGGGCGCUAAUACUGCAUACGACCAGAGGGAGAAAGUGGGGGAUCUUCGGACCGCAUGCUAUCUGAUGAGCCUAGGUCGGAUUAGCUAGUUGGUGGGUUAAAUGCCUACCAAGGCGGCGAUCCGUAACUGGUCUGAGAGGAUGAUCAGUCACACUAGAGCUGAGACACGGUCCAGACUCCUACGGGAGGCAGCAGUGGGGAAUAUUGGACAAUGGGCGAAAGCCUGAUCCAGCCAGGCCGCGUGUGUGGAGAAGGUCUUCGGAUUGUGAAGCACUUUAAGUUGGGAGGAAGGGCAGUAAGUUAAUACCUUGCUGUUUUGACGUUACCAACAGAAUAAGCACCGGCUAACUUCGUG
rnacentral:rRNA from 1 species